rnacentral:rRNA from 1 species
GACGAACGCUGGCGGCGUGCCUAAUACAUGCAAGUAGAACGCUGAAGGAGGAGCUUGCUCUUCUGGAUGAGUUGCGAACGGGUGAGUAACGCGUAGGUAACCUGCCUGGUAGCGGGGGAUAACUAUUGGAAACGAUAGCUAAUACCGCAUAAGAGUAGAUGUUGCAUGACAUUUACUUAAAAGGUGCAAUUGCAUCACUACCAGAUGGACCUGCGUUGUAUUAGCUAGUUGGUGGGGUAACGGCUUACCAAGGCGACGAUACAUAGCCGACCUGAGAGGGGGAUCGGCCACACUGGGACUGAGACACGGCCCAGACUCCUACGGGAGGCAGCAGUAGGGAAUCUUCGGCAAUGGACGGAAGUCUGACCGAGCAACGCCGCGUGAGUGAAGAAGGUUUUCGGAUCGUAAAGCUCUGUUGUAAGAGAAGAACGAGUGUGAGAGUGGAAAGUUCACACUGUGACGGUAUCUUACCAGAAAGGGACGGCUAACUACGG